rnacentral:rRNA from 1 species
AACCGGAUUAGAUACCCGGGUAGUCCUACCCGUAAACGAUUACUCGCUAGGGUUCGGCCACGGUGCGACCGUGGUCGGUGCCGUAGGGAAGCCGUGAAGCGAGCCACCUGGGAAGUACGGCCGCAAGGCUGAAACUUAAAGGAAUUGGCGGGGGAGCACUACAACGGGUGGAGCCUGCGGUUUAAUUGGAUUCAACGCCGGAAAUCUCACCGGGGGCGACAGCAUGAUGAAGGCCAGGCUGAAGACCUUGCCUGAUCCGCUGAGAGGUGGUGCAUGGCCGUCGUCAGUUCGUACUGUGAAGCAUCCUGUUAAGUCAGGCAACGAGCGAGACCCACGCCCACAGUUGCCAGCGAGCCCUUCGGGGUGGCGGGUACUCUGUGGGGACCGCCGCUGCUAAAGCGGAGGAAGGAAUGGGCAACGGUAGGUCAGUAUGCCCCGAAUCUCCCGGGCUACACGCGGGCUACAAUGGUCGGUACAAUGGGUAUCUACCCCGAGAGGGGAUGGAAAUCUCCUAAAACCGGUCGUAGUUCGGAUUGAGGGCUGCAACUCGCCCUCAUGAAGCUGGAAUCCGUAGUAAUCGCGUUUCAACAGAACGCGGUGAAUACAUCCCUGCUCCUUGCACACACCGCCCGUCAAACCACCCGAGUAGGGUCUGGAUAAGGGUGCGCCAUGUUGACGCAUUCGAAUCUGGGCUUUGCAAGGGGGGUUAAGUCGUAACAAGGUAACCAAGGGCGAAU